rnacentral:rRNA from 1 species
GUCUACUAUUAGACUACCCGUGUACGUCCCAGCCGUAAACUAUGCGCGUUAGGUGUAUCGGUGACCACGAGUUACCGAGGUGCCGAAGGGAAACCGUGAAACGUGCCGCCUGGGAAGUACGGUCGCAAGGCUGAAACUUAAAGGAAUUGGCGGGGAGCACCACAACGGGUGGAGCCUGCGGUUUAAUUGGACUCAACGCCGGGAAGCUCACCGGAUAAGACAGCGGAAUGAUUGCCGGGCUGAAGACUCUGCAUGACUAGCUG